GAUAGAAGACGACACUUAGAAGGAAAUCACUAAAAUCAUUUAACUAAUUUACAUUCGUUAUCAAGGAAAAUAAAGAUUGUGAAUUUUUAUUUAAAUCCUGUCCGUAAUGUGUGCAAAAAUGAUGUGAUCACGUGACACACAAAACCUAAGAAACUGAAAUCAUGAAGUCAGUUCAACAUAAAAACAUUCCCCUACUAUUUCAUUUUACUAUAUUUGAAAUGAUUAAUAUUUCACAUAAUGAACGGUAGCUUACUGUACCUUGUAAUGAUCCUGUUAUUGGUCUCUGAGCCUUUAAGCGCGUCACACAACCUGAUGACGUCACUCUUUUGACACUAUGCUGUUUCCAGGCUGGAGUGUGUUCAGCAGCAUCAUGGAGGUUAGCAGUCACAGACGUGUCUUUAGGAGAAUCCGAUACCGUGGCCCGGUUUGGUUGUUAAAGUGACUGCUCCUCUGAUAUGUACGUUGGGGAGGGGAGCCGUGGGACCUGGCUGUGAAUUAUCUAAAUCCUACCAGCUAAUAAAUGUGCUGUGCUUGUGCCUCAUCAUAGUCGACUCACUUCUUCUACGCUCCCGACGGCAGUUGGCAGCUAUUCAGCGUUGCAACCUUCAUACCGAUGUUCACGGUAGUGGCCCUGCAAGUUUGUGGGCAUACAGCAAUGCAAAUCGAAACUGUUCCUCUGCUGUGCUGUCCAACAAAUGCCAGCAUACAGGUCUGUUUACAUAUGACAUUUCACUGUUUGGCCAUGAUGGAAGAAGAAUUGGACUAGUUUCCUUCACCGACACCAUGUCAUUGUUAGCAGGAAGAAAACUCACAGAUGGGAUCAUUGAUUCCAGCAUUGUGUCAUUUUUAUUUGUAAUUCAUUGUACAUGUAUUUUAAUUGGGAAUUCAAAAUGUAUAAAUCAUUUCAUGAGUAGUGUUGGUAUAGGAGACAUGUGAUCGAUUCUUGCAGUGUAGAGGUAAAUGAUGGGCUUAAUGGCCUGUUUUCUGAUGUUCAUAUUUUCAGUUCUUCAACAUCACUAGUAUAUUACCAAAUGUAACAUGAUGUGAUUUCCUAUUAAAACAUUAGUGCCAUAGAAUGCAUUUAAUUAUGAAUUCAUAAUUGAAUUAAAGAUUUUGAUUUAAUUGCAGGUGUUUAAUGGAAAAGGCUCAACUGCCCAGCAGUGCAGCCCUGGUCAGUCUGUGUUGCCUGUUUCUCCAGUGUAUGCUCCGAGUUAAGAGAGUUUGCAUCAGAACGUAUUCGUCAGAGCGUGAAAAUCUCUGGAUGGAGAGAGCUGUACUGAGGAGCACCUGUUGCUCAGAUUGGAACCCUGAAAAGUGAGAUAGCAGUUGGAUGACCUAUGGAGACGGCCUCCCGAAAUGUGUGGAUAUCACGGACCCAUCCAAAUUGCCGCCGGAGCUGACAUUUCUAUUCACCAAAAACACUGAAUUCAUGUUUACAGGAGCCCAAGCGAAAGAUUCCGCGGCCUCGUUCGCUGAAUGUGAAACGGGAUUAGUCCAGCCCUUCUUAAAGAAUGACAGCAUGUCUAGAUGACACUUACCGGUAUGAAGGUUGCAACGCUGAAUAGCUGCCAACUGCCGUCGGGAGCGUAGAAGAAAGUGUGUGCAUGAUCACUGGGAGGAAGACGACUUUUUUGGGUACCAGUAUCUAAACGGCACCAACCCUGUACUGAUCAAACAGUGCAAACAGAUCCCUGCAAACUUCCCGGUCACCAAUCACAUGGUCAGUGGAUUCCUGGAGUCCAACUCCCUGCAGGAGGAAAUGGAGAAGGGGAAUAUCUUUCUGGUGGACUAUCAGCUGCUGGAGGAUGUCCCAGCCAAUACAAUUAAUGGACAUACUCAAUAUAUUCCUGCUCCGCUAUGCCUGCUGUACAAGGAUCCCCACAACAAGCUGAAACCCAUUGCCAUCCAGGUACCCUACUGCAUACUUGUAUGUAUUAGACAGCUGGUGCCAGGCUGUUAUGUGCUCAAUACAAAAAACUUUUUAAAACUAAUAUUGCAUUUGUGACUGAAAUUAAUAAAACUGUCAAAAUAACUGGAGUUGGCUACAUUAUAUACAUAUAGAUUGCAUUGUUAUACAGCUAACUAGAGAAGCUAUGGUAAUGCAUCAUUCAUUCCACACAAGCACUCCAAACUACAUAACAGUGUGGAAUUAGGAUUUUCUGUGCGUUUGUUUGAAACAUUUCUUUCUGCAAAGAGCAUGGAAACACGAUCUGCACACCUGCUCUAACGAAAUAAUGAAUAAUCCAAUCACUUUCUUAAUACAAGUGAAGCACAUUGUUUUACAGAAAAUAAACAUUGCAUUCAUAAAACAAGUUUAUUUUCCCACUCCAUUGCUUGUUCAUUGUCUGCCCCUUUUACACUGGUGACUUUGCAAAGCUCAGACCCAGCGUUGAAGCAGCUUGUUGCAGCUGUGUGAAUUACCCAUACCAGCACGUUGCCUCAUUCCGUUGAAUUUAACAACCUGUAACAAUCAACCCAGUUGCUCAGCUGCUUCUUAUUAACUCAGUUAUGAAAUAGAAAAGUGCUGUUAAUAGUGUCCUUUUUUAAAAUGAAGUGCUGCCAGUGCUGUGUUUAUCUGAUUACAAAGUUAGUGGAACAUACAAGUUCUCAUAGAUCUAUGGGGAACAAAAUAGUAUGGAUUACAUCGUGCUUGUUACACCCUUUAUUAAUCUAUUUUUAUCAGGGUUGGGGUCAGUUCCGAAUGGAAUUGGAAUUUGUUGGUAAAUUCCAAUUGAAUUCAAGAAUUGGAAUUGGAAUUGAAAAAAUCUUCAGGAUACAGAAUUGGAAUUUGAAUUGGAAUGUAAAGAAAUUGAAUUUAAUUCCAUGAAAUUCCAUUCAUUUUAAAAAGUGAAAUGCCACAUUUAUUUUACAG